rnacentral:rRNA from 1 species
CGUGAAAUUGUUGAAAGGGAAACGAUUGAAGCCAGUCGUACCUACGGGUAAUCAGCCUUUCGGAAGCGAUUCUGUGGGUUUUGAGGAGCUUCACGGCCCUCAUGGUCUACAUAUUUGUAUCCCUUGGGUGUACUUUCCCGGUGGUUGGUUAACAUCAAUUUCGGUCAUCAUAAAAUGACGGGAGGAAUGUAGCUUCGAUCUCGGUUGAAGUGUGUUAUAGCCUCUGGUAGAUGUGAUGAUCGGGAUUGAGG